GAUGAAGAACGCAGCGAAAUGCGAUAAGUAGUGUGAAUUGCAGAAUUCAGUGAAUCAUCGAAUCUUUGAACGCACAUUGCGCCCCUUGGUAUCCCGAGGGGCAUGCCUGUUCGAGCGUCAUUUCACCACUCAAGCCUGGCUUAGUGUUGGGCGACGUCCUCUUUGGGGACGCGCCUCGAAACGCUCGGCGGCGUGGCACCGGCUUUAAGCGUAGCAGAAUCUUUCGCUUUGGAAGUCGGGGCCCCGUCUGCCGGAAGACCUGCUCGCAAGGUUGACCUCGGAUCAGGCAGGGAUACCCGCUGAACUUAAGCAUAUCAAUAAGCGGAGGA
rnacentral:misc_RNA from 1 species